AGAGUUUGAUCCUGGCUCAGAUUGAACGCUGGCGGCAUGCCUUACACAUGCAAGUCGAACGGUAACAGGGAGCUUGCUCCGCUGACGAGUGGCGAACGGGUGAGUAAUAUAUCGGAACGUACCAUUCAGUGGGGGAUAACGUAGCGAAAGUUACGCUAAUACCGCAUAUUCUGUGAGCAGGAAAGCAGGGGAUCGCAAGACCUUGCGCUGAUUGAGCGGCCGAUAUCAGAUUAGCUUGUUGGUGAGGUAAAAGCUCACCAAGGCGACGAUCUGUAGCGGGUCUGAGAGGAUGAUCCGCCACACUGGAACUGAGACGCGGUCCAGACUCCUACGGGAGGCAGCAGUGGGGAAUUUUGGACAAUGGGGGCAACCCUGAUCCAGCCAUGCCGCGUGAGUGAAGAAGGCCUUCGGGUUGUAAAGCUCUUUCAGCCGGGAAGAAAACGCAUGGGUUAAUACCCUGUGUGGAUGACGGUACCGGAAUAAGAAGCACCGGCUAACUACGUGCCAGCAGCCGCGGUAAUACGUAGGGUGCGAGCGUUAAUCGGAAUUACUGGGCGUAAAGCGUGCGCAGGCGGUUUUGUAAGACAGGCGUGAAAUCCCCGGGCUUAACCUGGGAACUGCGUUUGUGACUGCAAGGCUAGAGUACGGCAGAGGGGGGUGGAAUUCCACGUGUAGCAGUGAAAUGCGUAGAGAUGUGGAGGAACACCAAUGGCGAAGGCAGCCCCCUGGGUCGAUACUGACGCUCAUGCACGAAAGCGUGGGUAGCAAACAGGAUUAGAUACCCUGGUAGUCCACGCCCUAAACGAUGUCAACUAGGUGUUGGGAGGGUAAAACCUUUUAGUACCGGAGCUAACGCGUGAAGUUGACCGCCUGGGGAGUACGGCCGCAAGGUUAAAACUCAAAGGAAUUGACGGGGACCCGCACAAGCGGUGGAUGAUGUGGAUUAAUUCGAUGCAACGCGAAAAACCUUACCUACCCUUGACAUGCCAAGAACUUUCCAGAGAUGGAUUGGUGCCCGAAAGGGAACUUGGACACAGGUGCUGCAUGGCUGUCGUCAGCUCGUGUCGUGAGAUGUUGGGUUAAGUCCCGCAACGAGCGCAACCCUUGUCGUUAAUUGCCAUCAUUUAGUUGGGCACUUUAACGAGACUGCCGGUGACAAACCGGAGGAAGGUGGGGAUGACGUCAAGUCCUCGUGGCCCUUAUGGGUAGGGCUUCACACGUCAUACAAUGGUCGGUACAAAGGGUCGCCAAGCCGCGAGGU
rnacentral:rRNA from 1 species